GUCACUUGUCAUGCAAAAAGGCAAAGGUAACAUGCUUGUAUGAUUGGGCACAUUUACACAAGAAGAUGAGGCUCAGGAGUCACAAACAUAAAUGUUCUUGUUCUUCCUUUAUGCUCCAGUGUCUAACAACACAUCUGCAAUGAUGCCAAGCUGACCUUGCUCGUGCAAGCAAAGCCCAGGAUGGAGCUGCUGGAUCGCUGCGUAACCUGACCCUCUGGUUGAAAGGAUGCAGAAUCGCUGUACUCCCAUCUGGAUUAUUACAUUCAAUUUAGGCCACAUGAACUCCUGUGCUGAAGGUGUACAUCUAAGAAAAUGGUUGUGAAUUGAGCGUGACUUGCAUAAAAGAGCAAGUUGCACCUAUUCUCUCUUGGAAAGCAUCUGCUUUUAGUUAAAAUCACAGUUGGCUCCCUACCCAGCCAUGGGGCCCCCAUCUUCUUUUCUGUAUCACCCCACAUUCACAUGCUUAAUAUACUAGUAAUUUUAUUAUGGGGCUGUGGUCAAGACUCUGUGGCUAAGGUUGCAACCAAGUUCUUUUAUAAGCUCUGUUUUUUGUCUGCCCCACUAGGGCUUUCACUAGGAAAACUGACUUGAAAAUUGGCAACAUUCACUUUGCACUUCAUAUCCAUAUAUUUACAUUCUCAGUCAUGUUUAAUUGUCAUGGUCCCUGCUUUACUACUCUUUCAACUUUAAUGUUAAUUAUCGGCCUCCUCUUAAAGUUAAGCCUUUCUUGGUGUCUUUUAAUUAUAAUAAAGCCCUAGGCAGUUGUGUUACUGUGACCACUGCAUAUUAUACAGUUCUUGGUUGUGUCCCUUACUUGCCUUGUUAUGGCUUAUUUGUAGACUGGAAGCUCUUUGACUUUCUGUUGCAUUUGUUUGAGCAUGUUGAGGGUUGCAGUCUGCAACUCAAACCUCUUCUUAUUGCUGCAGUAAAAAUAAAUUAUAUUAAACAUUCUAAAAAUUCAUAGACAGAUCCUGUCUUUAGUUGCAACUGAUAGUAGAAUUUCCACCACCAUCAACAGAAAUGGGGUGUAGCUGUGGCCUUCAUUUUGUAAAUGACCGUGGGUGCUAACUCAUCCUACCUGUAAGCUAAACCAGUGCUGCUUCCUAAUCAAAGCCUCUUUGUCAUUGUAAAAAAUGAAAUAAUCAGUUUUGUCAAGAUACUGAAAGUCUGCACGCUUGAGUGUAGGAAGUAUGUGUGUGACAGAGUUGAGCGGGUAUAACUGGAAAAUUUUCUUUUGAAAAUUAUGCAGAAUUGGAAGAACUGUAGUGCAAGUGCUGGUUUUCUUUUUGAAUUGUCUUUUCUCAUCACUUUUUAAAUGCAAAAUCCAGCCUUGCUCACAGGAGCUAAGUAAUAGUAGAGAAUUUGCAAGUAGCCAGUUGACUUUGGCACCUUAAUCUGCGUUCAAAGUGAAUUCAGGUUAAAGGUGGUAAAGUGUCGAUUUAAAAUGUAGCAGCAGUUCUUAUUGCAUAAGAAGAGGACAUUUUUCUUGUUCAAUGUCAUCUAUUUUCAUGCAAUUUCUGAAUAAUUAUUCCUGACUGUGUAGGAAAGCUGUAAAGAAUCCUAUAUCCAAAAGUGACUUAACAGCAUCCAGACCUCUAAGUAGUGAACAUUUUCACAUUCAGCAUCCUAAGUGUAUGAUUCAUUAUUUGUAAUGAAACAGGAUCUUCUAAGCCCUCUCCAUUUUUUCCAAAGUUUAAUCUAGCUUCUUUAAGUACAUAGGUUCUGUGGUCAGAGAGGUUUUAAAUUGGUGAGAGAGCUAAAAUUAUCUGCAAGAAACAAUGAAUCCUUUGAUAUUUUCAGAAGAGAUUUGAUGAAGGUCAAAAAUUUAAAAGCAGAGGAAAACAGAAGAAAGUCCACCACUGGAAGAGAUCAAACAGGACUAAGAGGGUGAUGGUAAGGAUGGUAAGGGGAAACAAAUCUGGAAGGAAGCACAGGGUCUGGAAAGGGAGACAUUUUCAAACAAGGGCAGAAUGGAUAGACAUGAGUCCCUGUGUGAUCUGCUCUGGGUGAACCUGCUUUAGCAGGUGGGUUGGACAAGAAGAUCUCCAGAGGUCCCUCCCAACCCCAACCAUUCCGUGAUUCUGUGAGUAUUCUCAGGAAUGUUAGUUGCUCUGUAAUACCCUAUUUCGAAAAAAAAGUCACUUUUUUUUUGAAAAUAUGUAGAUUUUCCUCCUCUUCCACUGAACUGUUCGACAUACUCAUUAUCCCCUUUGUGCAAGUUUCUCAGAUUCACAACACAGUGAUUAUUCUUAACGUAAAGUGAGUACCCUUGCCUCUAAAGUAUAAAUUCGCAUCCACUUGGGGAAAACCUUAUCCAUUCUUCUACAAGAAGGACUGUAGUUCUACCAUAUGAAGAAGAAGUUGUGUCUGAGAAGUCUGUGCAAAGUUGAUCAUCUCAGAAGCAUGGAGCUGAAUCUGCCAGUGGUACCAGUCCAAAGAAGGAUCUGUCUUAUGAAUGUAUGGUAUUAUGCAUGUUUAGAGGAAUUAUUGCAGACCUGAGACCACAGUCGCUUCUAGCUUUAAACAGGUCAUGCUAUUGUUAGUGAUGCAGCAACACAUGACACCAAGGACACUGAGACACUGAGGAAGUGCUUGGGCUGUAGUUGUAUCUGGAUGAUUCCAGGAAUCUCUCUUGUCCAAGAAGGACUUGGAAGAGUACACAGAAACUGGCCAUUCCCACUUAAGACAUUAUAGCUAAAUAUUGUAACUUCAGACUUGGUAUAGUUCACUUCUCUGGUCUGAGAGGUAAUGUGAAGUUAUACUGUAUUACUGCUACCCUAUUGAUUGAGCUGGUACAUUCCCUGUCAAGUUGUGCUUUAACAAGUUCUUUGACAGCAAAACCCCCUCUAAA